GGCGGAUCCCUUUCUUCCUCAAAACCUCAUCAAUGUGGGUUUUCCAAAACCCCAUCAAUAUGGGUAUCAAAUGAAAGGGCUUGACUAGCAGAAUACAGUUAUUUAAGAAAAAUGCAAAUCCAAGAUGGCUGCCACUACUAAAUGGCGGACUACAUAGUUUCCCAAAACUUCAUUAAUAUGGGUGUUGGGGGGAAGCAAACUACGCCACUGAUGACUUGAUCUGAACCUGCGCAUCCGGACGGUGCCACUCCAUGACGCACCCAGACAAUCAUUGACAGCUAGCUGUCAUCACUGUCAUUCUGAAAACUUCUCUCGUACCACACAUUCUUUGCUAAUCACAAAAAAGGAGUAGAGAUAGAACCCAAAAUAAAGUUGAAUUCCCAAAUUGUUAAAUAAUUGAAUCAUCCUGUCGUGCUUUGAAUUUAAAACGAGGAGAUCAAAUCUUUGAGCUCGCUAUACAUUGAUAAAAACGCGUGCUGAAUAGAACCUCCGAAACCCCCGUAACAAUGGGUAUCAAAUGAAAGGGAUUGACUAGCAGAACACGGUUAUUUAUGAAAAAUGCAAAUCCAUCAAAAUUCUACCAAAUGGCGGACUACAUAUUAUGUCAAAACACCAUUAAUAUGGGUAUCAAAUGAAAGGGCUUGAAUAGUAGAUCACAGUAGAUCAUGAAAAAUUAAAAUCCAAGAUGGCCGCAAUCACAAAAUAGCAAUAUACUUUAUUAAACGGUUUUAUUUAGCUUGAACUGUUCGUAUGUAUGUAUGUAUGUCUGUAGGAUUGUCCCACAGUAAUAGAAAUUUGACCAAUAGGAACUGACCGGAUAGGAACUGCUGUCAUUUUAAAACUGCUUAUCUUGAAAAAUCCAAUUUGGCCUCCGCUCAAAAUCGCUGAUUCCAUAUCAUCUCAAAAAAAAAGGUUGAUUGAGAUAUGUGUAUCAAACCAACGAACUUGACUUGGAGAACACACUAUGUAUUUUCUGCAAUCUACUCAAUAUCGGUAUCAAAUGAAAUUUUUUGACUGAUAGAA